ACAGUGGACGCGAGCAUCUGUGGCCAAGUUUUUAAGGGCGCACGGUGGAUGCCUUGGCACCAGGAACCGAUGAAGGACGUGGGAGGCCACGAUAGGCCCCGGGGAGCUGUCAACCGAGCUUUGAUCCGGGGGUGUCCGAAUGGGGAAACCCGGCAGUCGUCAUGGGCUGUCACCCGCUGCUGAACACAUAGGCAGUGUGGAGGGAACGCGGGGAAGUGAAACAUCUCAGUACCCGCAGGAAGAGAAAACAACCGUGAUUCCGGGAGUAGUGGCGAGCGAAACCGGAUGAGGCCAAACCAGUCACGUGUGAUACCCGGCAGGGGUUGCGUGGUUGGGGUUGUGGGAGUUCUCUUUUGCAGUCUGCCGGCUGUGAGGCAAGUCAGAAACCGUUGGUGUAGGCGAAGGACAUGCGAAAGGUCCGGCGUAGAGGGUAAGACCCCCGUAGCUGAAACAUCAACGGCUUGCUUGAGAACCACCCAAGUAGCACGGGGCCCGAGAAAUCCCGUGUGAAUCUGGCGGGACCACCCGUUAAGCCUAAAUAUUCCCUGGUGACCGAUAGCGGAUAGUACCGUGAGGGAAUGGUGAAAAGUACCGCGGGAGCGGAGUGAAAUAGUACCUGAAACCGUGUGCCUACAAGCCGUGGGAGCGUCGCGCAGAGACUUGUCUCUGCGUCGUGACUGCGUGCCUUUUGAAGAAUGAGCCUGCGAGUUUGCGGUAUGUUGCGAGGUUAACCCGUGUGGGGAAGCCGUAGCGAAAGCGAGUCCGAAUAGGGCGUUGAGUAGCGUGCCCAAGACCCGAAGCGGAGUGAUCUAGCCAUGGGCAGGUUGAAGCGGAGGUAAGACUUCGUGGAGGACCGAACCCACCAGGGUUGAAAACCUGGGGGAUGACCUGUGGUUAGGGGUGAAAGGCCAAUCAAACUCCGUGAUAGCUGGUUCUCCCCGAAAUGCAUUUAGGUGCAGCGUCGUGUGUUUCUUGCCGGAGGUAGAGCACUGGAUAGGCGAUGGGCCCUACCGGGUUACUGACCUUAGCCAAACUCCGAAUGCCGGUAAGUGAGAGCGCGGCAGUGAGACUGUGGGGGAUAAGCUCCAUGGUCGAGAGGGAAACAGCCCAGAGCAUCGACUAAGGCCCCUAAGCGUGUGCUAAGUGGGAAAGGAUGUGGAGUCGCAGAGACAACCAGGAGGUUGGCUUAGAAGCAGCCAUCCUUGAAAGAGUGCGUAAUAGCUCACUGGUCAAGUGAUUCCGCGCCGACAAUGUAGCGGGGCUCAAGCACACCGCCGAAGUCGUGUCAUUGCAGCA
rnacentral:rRNA from 1 species